UACGGAGGGUGCAAGCGUUAUCCGGAUUCACUGGGUUUAAAGGGUGCGUAGGCGGAUUAGUAAGUCCGUGGUGAAAUCUCCGAGCUUAACUCGGAAACUGCCGUGGAUACUAUUAGUCUUGAAUGUUGUGGAGGUUAGCGGAAUAUGUCAUGUAGCGGUGAAAUGCAUAGAUAUGACAUAGAACACCAAUUGCGAAGGCAGCUGGCUACACAAAUAUUGACGCUGAUGCACGAAAGCGUGGGGAUCAAACAGG
rnacentral:rRNA from 1 species